rnacentral:tRNA from 1 species
AGUUAUUUAGCUUAUUUUAAAGCAUUUAUUUUGAAAAUAAAAGAAAGGAUUUACUUAAUAACUU